CUUUAGCACUAGGUAAGCUUAUUAUUAAUCGAAGCUGCAAAAUAAAUGUGUCUAGACUAUCUGGGCCAUUGCUCUGUAGGAAUUAAGUGACCUCGUCUCGUGUGUGGGUAAGAGACCAAUUUGAUCAGAUUGCGAAAGAGACGAGGGUGUGCGUUAUCAAUCCUCGUUAAACAGUUUUACCAUAAAGUGUUUGACUUCCCGGGCAGGUCGUCGGGCCACCAAAGCGGUUUAUCCAUCUCUCCACUGAGGAUCAAAAUUAUCAUGGCAUGUCUUCGGGCCACUAAAGCGGUGUAUCCAUCUCUCUACUGAGGAUCAAAAUUAUCAUGGCAUGUCUUCGGAUCAUCCUCUGGGAUGUUUCUCUGACCGUCGCCAAUAGCCCAUUGUGUAGCUUUAGUCUGUGCGAUGUAAAUAAAAUGCUGCUAUAUCCUAUUGCAUAGACCAAUUUCGAAAUUUUUAUUUGCCUAAACAAGAACUGAAAUAAUUAAAAUGCUUAGAAAUGA